GUUUAAUGAUGCUGAUAUUGAUUACUCUGUGAAGGUGAUCCUCAUUUACUUCUAAAGUACUGUAUUUUUUUUUGCAGUAGUUUUCAUACUUCAUAAUUAAUUUCAAUUAAUUCUGGACUCUAACUUGGACAUACAUACUCAUUAAAUUUUAGAAGUCAGUUCUUAAUUUAGGACAUUGCUUAGAUUCCGUAGAAUAUUGAAUGCAGGUAUUUAACCAAUAUGAAAAAAUAUAUGAUGCUUUGGAGAGUGUAUUCAGUGUAUCUUUGAGAUUAAACUGAAGUUACUAUUAUUUGCUAAUGAGACAUUGUUGAUUAAAGAAGAAACAGCCACAUCUAAACUACUACCAUUUGGUUCAUUUUCACCCCUUUUAGUUUUUUUGUCUAACCAUAUUGCCUGAGCAGCUGUGCAUGUGCAGCUUACCUUACCAACACUUUGGAGAACAGAAGAGCGAAUUCAAAGAUUAAAGGGUUCCCUCCUCUUCAUUACUUUCCAACACACAGAAACACACAGAGAGAAAGAGAACUGAAAAAUAAAUGUAACACACUCAAUUUUAUGACACAUCUUCACAUGAUAAUUAGAAUAGGAGGUACACACUAUCAAUGUGUACGUCCAUGUAUGUGUGUCCAUAUAUAUGUAUACAUAUAUUUCCAAAAGCUAAUUUGAAUCUAAGGUGAGCCUUGCGAUCGACUGCAUGUUAGAAUCAAGGGAAUGUGUGAGUAAACCUGCAUUAGGUCGAUUAAGACGUUACAAAGAAAAAUCUCUUUCUUCUGUAUUCUGUAUACUCACCUUCUCUUCUAUAUAGUGGUCUUGAUGUGUUAAUAAUUUUUAAAGCAGUUUUGUUUUCACUGAGAGUAGUACUUUUAAAGCUCUUUGGUGGAGGGACAUGUGACCUGGCUUCACUGAUCUGCAAACACCCCCUCUGAGUACUAUUACCAUCCAGACGGUUUUCUUACUGAGCAGUUAUGAAGGUUUAUGACUAAGUUAUAAACAGGAGAAGGGAGCUUAUGUUAAUGAGGUCAACACUGUUUCUGUUAUGUCUUUGACUUAUUAAACAGCGUCCCAAAGGGAAAACCUUUUCUAAAUGGGCUAAACAGAGAGAUAAACUUUUACCAGCUGAAGACCUAAACUGCAACUAUACUUAAUGAUGUGGAGCUGUGUCUAAAUGUACUUGGAACCACACAAUGAUACCAAUGUCAGUGCAACUAUUAUAUUAAUAUUUAUUUGUGUAUUUGUAUAUAUAGUCAUUUCUAUAACCAUUUCUUUGUCUCAGUCAAGGGGGCUGCCAUAAUAAAAUACUGUAGACUGGAUGGAUUAAACAGCAGAAAUCUAUUUUCCCACAGUUCUGGAAGCUGGGAAGUCCAAGAUCAAGGUGUCAGCCAAUUUGAUUUCUGCUCAAGACAAUCUGCCUACAUACAAAGGAAGCAACAGAAAACAAAACAAGCUGUUUGGGGAAUUGAUUCUCCAACAAAUCCCUCUUGAUCGAGCCAGGGCUCAGUGAAAAAGGAUGCUUUACACCUCCUGUUUACUCCUCAAAUGUCC
rnacentral:lncRNA from 1 species